UUGGGCAAGCGUGGCCUGGUAUCCGCAGCUCUGGAGGUUCGCGCGGGAGUGGGGGGGUGAAGGCGGAAGUGGCGGCGCCGGGUCCGGGAGUGGAAAGGAGCUGAGGCUGCAGCCCGAGUGGAGCGGCUGCCAGCCGAGGAGCAGGCGCGGCCGCGGCGCCAUAUUGCGGCCCUCAGCGGUCGCCACCGAGCCAUGGCCGAGACCUACGACUUCCUCUUCAAAUUCCUGGUGAUUGGCAGUGCUGGAACUGGCAAAUCAUGUCUCCUCCAUCAGUUCAUUGAGAAUAAGUUCAAACAGGACUCCAACCACACCAUUGGCGUGGAGUUUGGAUCCAGGGUGGUCAAUGUUGGGGGGAAGACUGUGAAGCUCCAGAUUUGGGACACUGCCGGCCAGGAGCGCUUUCGGUCGGUGACACGAAGUUAUUACCGAGGGGCAGCUGGAGCCCUGCUGGUGUACGACAUCACCAGCCGAGAGACAUACAACUCACUAGCUGCAUGGCUGACUGAUGCCCGGACGCUGGCCAGCCCCAACAUCGUGGUCAUCCUCUGUGGCAACAAGAAGGAUCUGGAUCCUGAGCGUGAGGUUACUUUCCUCGAGGCCUCCCGCUUUGCCCAGGAGAACGAGCUGAUGUUCCUGGAGACCAGCGCUCUCACGGGUGAGAACGUGGAAGAAGCGUUCCUGAAGUGCGCGCGCACCAUCCUCAACAAGAUCGACUCAGGUGAACUAGACCCCGAGAGGAUGGGCUCAGGCAUUCAGUAUGGUGACGUAUCUCUUCGCCAGCUGCGGCAGCCUCGCAGCGCUCAGGCCGUGGCUCCUCAGCCUUGUGGCUGCUGAGACCUGCAGAGUCAGCCAGGCCGUGUUUUCUUCUCCUUUGACCUGAUAACCUCCUCCUCUAAGAAGCCUUGUUCAUUUUUCCAUGCAUGGUCCAAACUCCUUGACAGACCUGCAGGACCCUUCCUUACCUGUGACUAUGGGUGUCCUUACUCACCUGUUCUCCUGGACCAGCCCUACCCGAAGGCUGGGGCCCCAAACCAAGGCCCUAAGAGGAUAGGCCCCAAUCUGCCCUGGCCCCAGAAAAGCCACCCCAUCUCCCAUCCCCCCCUUCCCGGGCCUGGUGGGGCCUGGCUUUGGGGCAAGACUGAGCCACAGGGGAAGGGGGAACCCACACCUGCUGCUGUUUCCUCUGACUUGGCUAACUCUAUUCCCCCUGAACCCCUAACCAUAUCCUGAAGAACUCCCAGAGCUUGAGACCAGGGCCAUUCGGCCCCACCUUCCUGCCUGGCCCUGCUGUUGCAAGUCUGUGUUAUUUAUUACCUGGAGGCCUGCUCCAUCCUGUUCCAGCCCUCCAUAAAGCAUUGUUUACACCUGUG